rnacentral:rRNA from 1 species
UGAGGAAUAUUGGGCAAUGGACGGAAGUCUGACCCAGCCAUGCCGCGUGAAGGAUGAAGGCGUUCUGCGUUGUAAACUUCUUUUAUCUGGGAAAAAACCACUUUUUUCUAAAGGUGUUGACGGUACCGGAGGAAUAAGCACCGGCUAACUCCGUG